rnacentral:rRNA from 1 species
CCUACGGGAGGCAGCAGUGGGGAAUAUUGCACAAUGGGGGAAACCCUUAUGCAGCGACGCCGCGUGAGUGAAGAAGUAUUUCGGUAUGUAAAGCUCUAUCAGCAGGGAAGAAAAUGACGGUACCUGACUAAGAAGCCCCGGCUAACUACGUGCCAGCAGCCGCGGUAAUACGUAGGGGGCAAGCGUUAUCCGGAUUUACUGGGUGUAAGGGGAGCGUAGACGGCGGAACAAGUCAGAAGUGAAAACCCGGGGCUCAACCCAGGGGGUGCUUUUGAAACUGUUUGGCUUGAGUGCAGGAGAGGUAAGCGGAAUUCCUAGUGUAGCGGUGGAAUGCGUAGAUAUUAGGAGGAACACCAGUGGCGAAGGCGGCUUACUGGACUGUAACUGACGUUGAGGCUCGAAAGCGUGGGGAGCAAACAGGAUUAGAUACCCUGGUAGUC